ensembl:misc_RNA Metazoa_SRP Metazoan signal recognition particle RNA
GCCGGGUGUGGUGGCGUGCACCUGUAGUCCAAUACUUGGAGGCUGAGGCAGGAGAAUUGCUUGAACCCAGGAGGUGGAGGCUGCAGUGAGCCGAGAUCGGCCACUGCACUCCAGCCUGGGCAACAGAGCAAGACUCCGUCUCAA